rnacentral:rRNA from 1 species
UACGUAGGGUCCGAGCGUUGUCCGGAAUUAUUGGGCGUAAAGGGCUCGUAGGCGGUCUGUUGCGUCGGGAGUGAAAACUUACAGCUUAACUGUGAGCGUGCUUUCGAUACGGGCAGACUUGAGGCAUUCAGGGGAGAACGGAAUUCCUGGUGUAGCGGUGAAAUGCGCAGAUAUCAGGAGGAACACCGGUGGCGAAGGCAGCACUCUGGGACGUGACUGACGCUGAGACGCGAAAGCGUGGGGAGCAAACAGG